CUAAGCAUAUCAAUAAGCAGACUGAUAGAGAACAACAGGGAUGGCCCUAGUAACGGCGAGUGAAGCGGCAACAGCUCAAAUUUGAAAUCUGGCCUUCGGGUCCGAGUUGUAAUUUGCAGAGGAUGCUUUGGGCGCGGCGCCUUCCGAGUUCCCUGGAACGGGACGCCAUAGAGGGUGAGAGCCCCGUCUGGUUGGAUGCCUAGCCUGUGUAAAGCUCCUUCGACGAGUCGAGUAGUUUGGGAAUGCUGCUCUAAAUGGGAGGUACAUGCCUUCUAAAGCUAAAUACCGGCCAGAGACCGAUAGCGCACAAGUAGAGUGAUCGAAAGAUGAAAAGCACUUUGAAAAGAGGGUUAAAUAGUACGUGAAAUUGUUGAAAGGGAAGCGCUUGUGACCAGACUUGGGCGUGGUGAAUCAUCCGGCGUUCUCGCCGGUGCACUUUGCCUGUCCAGGCCAGCAUCAGCUCGUCGCGGGGGACAAAGGCUUCGGGAAUGUGGCUCCCUCGGGAGUGUUAUAGACCGUUGCGUAAUACCCUGCGGUGGGCUGAGGUUCGCGCAUCUGCUCGGAUGCUGGCGUAAUGGUCAUCAGCGACCCGUCUUGAAACACGGACCAAGGAGUCGUCUUCGUAUGCGAGUGUUCGGGUGUCAAACCCCUACGCGUAAUGAAAGUGAACGCAGGUGAGAGCUUCGGCGCAUCAUCGACCGAUCCUGAUGUUCUCGGAUGGAUUUGAGUAAGAGCAUACGGGGCCGGACCCGAAAGAAGGUGAACUAUGCCUGUAUAGGGUGAAGCCAGAGGAAACUCUGGUGGAGGCUCGCAGCGGUUCUGACGUGCAAAUCGAUCGUCAAAUAUGGGCAUGGGGGCGAAAGACUAAUCGAACCUUCUAGUAGCUGGUUUCCGCCGAAGUCCCCCCCCUAAGGAACUGUCGCGCAUCGCGUAGUUCCAUCAUUCGUCACAUACGCUGCACCGCUGCUCCGCCACUACGUACUCCCGUACUCUACGGCUCGUCUUUUUACACCUCGCACCUCCCUCACACUCUAUCCACUCGUUCUGCUUUCUCCGCCUAUCCUACUCAUCCCCUCUCUCCUUCUUACCUCGGCCGUUUCUACGUUACUUGUUCGCCGCGUACGCUCCGUUUAUCACGACUGCCUUGGCUAUCGACGUAUGCGACGU
rnacentral:rRNA from 1 species